GACGAACGCUGGCGGCGUGCCUAAUACAUGCAAGUCGAACGCAGUGGGGACGGGUGAGUAACACGUGGGUAACCUCCCAUCAGAGGGGAUAACACUUGGAAACAGGUGCUAAAACGAUACUGAUGGAUGAACCCGCGGUGCAUUAGCUAGUGGGUGAGGUAACGGCUCACCAAGGCCACGAUGCAUAGCCGACCUGGGAGGGUGAUCGGCCACAAUGGGACUGAGACAGGGCCCAGAAUCCUACGGCAGGCAGCAGUGGGGUAUCUUCGGCAAUGGACGAAAGUCUGACCGAGCAACGCCGCGUGAGUGAAGAAGGUUUACGGAGCGUAAAACUCUGUUGUUAGAGAAGCGGUAUCUAACCAGAAAGCCACGGCUAACUACGUGCCAGCAGCCGCGGGAAUUC
rnacentral:rRNA from 1 species